rnacentral:ribozyme from 13 species
AAAAAAAAAAAAGAGUCAAUGACUCCCAAUCUUCAUGUUACUCGAUUCUUUCUUUUCUUUCUUUCCUCCUCCUCAUUUUCUCUCUUU